UACAGAGGGGGCAAGCGUUAUUCGGAAUUACUGGGCGUAAAGGGCUCGUAGGCGGCCAACUAAGUCAGACGUGAAAUCCCCAGGCUCAACCUGGGAACUGCGUCUGAUACUGGAUGGCUUGAAUCCGGGAGAGGGAUGCAGAAUUCCAGGUGUAGCGGUGAAAUGCGUAGAUAUCUGGAGGAAUACCGGUGGCGAAGGCGGCCUUCUGGUCGGAUACUGACGCUAAAACGCGAAAGCGUGGGGAGCAAACAGG
rnacentral:rRNA from 1 species